AUGAUGGGGGGGGUGGUAGAUGGUGUUAUUACUGAAGUGCCUUGUGGAUCUCCUUCCCUAAGGGUAUAGCUCAGUUACCCAUCCAGAGGAACCUGGGUUUUGUUCAGUAGGGCGAAGUGCUUUGAAAUGAAAAUUCAAAACCAGUGUUUUUCUUAUUGGACCAGGUCCAGGUAGGCCCUCCCUGUUCGAGUCAGUUUUUUUUCUUUUGAUGAACACAACCCUGAUGAACACAACCCUGAUGAACACAACCCUGUCAGCCUUGGCUGUGUUACUGUUGUCUGGUAAUGAGAAUGAAAGACCAGUCUUGAUCUAUUAUGCUGUAUCUGUGUAUCCACCCUACUAGUCACACAGAAUCUGCUUUAAACUGACCUGUGCAGGCUGUGAUAAGAGUUCUGUUUGGGGGGGGGGGCUUAUGUGUGUUUUUAGUGAGUUAUUUUACAAGGGAAAUGCUUAUCGAAGGCCCUUAUCUUAUUUUGUCCAGUAGGUAUGUACAGUAGGUAUGUGUCAGAAAGGCCUGAGGGUUGAAUCAUGACCAGUACAGUAGGUAUGUGUCAAAGGCCUGAGGGUUGAAUCAUGACCAGUACAGUAGGUAUGUGUCAAAAAGGCCUGUGGGUUGAAUCAUGACCAGUACAGUAGGUAUGUGUCAGAAAGGCCUGAGGGUUGAAUCAUGACCAGUACAGUAGGUAUGUGUCAAAGGCCUGAGGGUUGAAUCAUGACCAGUACAGUAGGUAUGUGUCAAAAAGGCCUGUGGGUUGAAUCAUGACCAGUACAGUAGGUAUGUGUCAAAAAAGCUUGUGGGUUGAAUCAUGACCACUACAGUAGGUAUGUGUCAGAAAGGCCUGUGGGUUGAAUCAUGACCAGUACAGUAGGUAUGUGUCAGAAAGGCCUGUGGGUUGAAUCAUGACCAGUACAGUAGGUAUGUGUCAGAAAUGAAACCCUAGUCCUAACAAAGUGCUCUACUGUUGACCAGGGUCUAUGGUCUCUGGUUGAAAGUAGGUCACUGAGUGUACAAAAUAUUAGGAACACCUGCUCUUUCCAUGACAGACUGACCAGGUGAAAGCUAUGAUCCCUUAUUGAUGUCACUUGUUAAAUCCACUUGCACAUGGAUUGUGCAUGUGUGCCAUUGAGGGUCAAUGGGCAAUCAACAUAUUGAAAUGCCUUUGAACAGGGUUUGGUAACAGGUGUCAGGCGCACCGGUUUCAGUGUCAAGAUCUGCAACAGCUUUCUGUGUGGAUUAAGAAAGGACCACCACUCAAAGGACAUCCAACCAACUUGACACAACUGUGGGAAGCAUUGGAGUCAACAUUUCUGAAUCUUAUUUUGGUCCAUUAUCAAUUGUUGAAGGGAAAGUAUGUUUUUAUAUCUAAAUUCUAUGCAUUUUAUUUUCUCGGUGUAUUUUCCAUUGAAUACAAACAGUGCUCUGACAUGUAUAUAGCCACCAUGAAAUCACGUGGGAGUGGGGGUUUAUGUAUAUCUUUCUUUCAACAGGAUACUUUUGAACUAUUCAAUAAUGGUUUAGUGAUUAAACUGACACUUGUGAAAUAUUA